CCGUGAGUACUUCAACUUCUCUGAAUUUCUGAUUUUCUCCAAUUAAAGAACGGAGAUAAGAUUGAUCAGUGUGAAUUGCUAUUUUGCAAGUGUGAAAAUUUGUUGAUUUGUAGGUUCCAAAAAUAAAGAACAAGUCUGGUGAUUGAAAUGUUUGUGCACCCAUUCCUCAUUCCUUUUGCUUACAAAAGAAAUAUCAUGGAGUUAAACUGUAAGUUUCCAUGUUCCUUCAAUGUAACUAAAUUAUUAGAUGUUGCCACUUAUUAAGAAUAAUUUGUAGGUUCGUCGUCAUUAUUGUGAAUUUUCAUGUCUUAUAUUUGUAGCUUCUGCAGGUGUUAUGUCAAGGUAUCACCAUGGCGAGAUCCCCUUUGCUGCUAACCAGGAACUUGAGAAUUGUUUCGAUGCUGAAAACUAUAAGUGAGAGCACUCUGAAGUUUGAUGUGCACUUGACGCUGGAUCAUUGGACUUCCCCUGUUGAGUUCGAAUUUGAUUCUGCUAAUUCUGAUGUAGCGCCAGCAUGUAACAACAUCUAUGCUGAUGUUCGCAAAUUUCCUUCUUGGAUUAUCUUCUGUGUAAGUUCCUGCAAAUUGGUAUAGGUGCAGUGCACUGGCUCAUGGUCUUGCUGCCCAGGCGCAUCAGAUUUGGUAAUCUAUGGAUGGGGAAUGUCCCUCCAUUGUUGAAUUGGCUUGUAAUGACUAUGUAACUCUGAUUCCGUAUGACCAUUCAAAAAAAGAAAAAGGAAACUGAUCUGUGCCCACUUCUGUUGACGGAAUGUUUCUGUUGUAUGCUAAAAC
rnacentral:lncRNA from 1 species